rnacentral:rRNA from 1 species
GGAUUAGAUACCCUGGUAGUCCACGCCGUAAACGAUGGAUACUAGGUGUCGGGGGCUUGACCUUCGGCGCCGUAGCUAACGCGUUAAGUAUCCCGCCUGGGGAGUACGGUCGCAAGGCUGAAACUCAAAGAAAUUGACGGGGGCCCGCACAAGCGGUGGAGUAUGUGGUUUAAUUCGAUGCAACGCGAAGAACCUUACCUAGGUUUGACAUCCCGCGAAUUCGCCGUAAAUGGCGAAGUGCCCUUCGGGGAGCGCGGUGACAGGUGCUGCAUGGCUGUCGUCAGCUCGUGCUG